UACAGAGGGUGCUAGCGUUGUUCGGAAUCAUUGGGCGUAAAGGGCGUGUAGGCGGUUUGUUAAGUCAUGUGUGAAAGCCCACGGCUCAACCGUGGAGGGUCAUUGGAAACUGGGGGACUUGAGUGCAGGAGAGAAGAGUGGAAUUCCACGUGUAGCGGUGAAAUGCGUAGAGAUGUGGAGGAACACCAGUGGCGAAGGCGACUCUUUGGCCUGUAACUGACGCUGAGGCGCGAAAGCGUGGGGAGCAAACAGG
rnacentral:rRNA from 1 species